GCAGUCGAACGGUGAAGCAGGUGCUUGCACUUGUGGAUCAGUGGCGAACGGGUGAGUAACACGUGAGUAACCUGCCCAUCACUCUGGGAUAAGCGCUGGAAACGGCGUCUAAUACUGGAUACGACCGGUCCUCGCAUGGGGUGCUGGUGGAAAGAUUUAUUGGUGGUGGAUGGACUCGCGGCCUAUCAGCUUGUUGGUGGGGUAAUGGCCUACCAAGGCGACGACGGGUAGCCGGCCUGAGAGGGCGACCGGCCACACUGGGACUGAGACACGGCCCAGACUCCUACGGGAGGCAGCAGUGGGGAAUAUUGCACAAUGGGCGAAAGCCUGAUGCAGCGACGCCGCGUGAGGGAUGACGGCCUUCGGGUUGUAAACCUCUUUCAGCAGGGAAGAAGCUUUUGUGACGGUACCUGCAGAAGAAGCACCGGCUAACUACGUGCCAGCAGCCGCGGUAAUACGUAGGGUGCGAGCGUUGUCCGGAAUUAUUGGGCGUAAAGAGCUUGUAGGCGGUUUGUCGCGUCUGCUGUGAAAAUCUAGGGCUUAACCCUGGACGUGCAGUGGGUACGGGCAGACUAGAGUGUGGUAGGGGAGACUGGAAUUCCUGGUGUAGCGGUGGAAUGCGCAGAUAUCAGGAGGAACACCGAUGGCGAAGGCAGGUCUCUGGGCCAUUACUGACGCUGAGAAGCGAAAGCAUGGGGAGCGAACAGGAUUAGAUACCCUGGGUAGUCCAUGCCGUAAACGUUGGGGCGCUANGGCGUG
rnacentral:rRNA from 1 species